UACAGAGGUCUCAAGCGUUGUUCGGAUUCAUUGGGCGUAAAGGGUGCGUAGGCGGCGCGGUAAGUCGGGGUGUGAAAUCUCGGAGCUUAACUCCGAAACUGCAUUCGAUACUGCCGUGCUUGAGGACUGGAGAGGAGACUGGAAUUUACGGUGUAGCGGUGAAAUGCGUAGAUAUCGUAAGGAAGACCAGUGGCGAAGGCGGGUCUCGUGGACAGUUCCUGACGCUGAGGCAACGAGGGCCAGGGGGAGCAAACGGG
rnacentral:rRNA from 1 species